rnacentral:ncRNA from 2 species
GGAUAUGAUGGCCCCGCCAGCGCACCCGAUUCGUCGGGUAGGGAAUCCGGUGGGAAUCCGGGACUGACGCGCAGCGGUGAGAGCGACGCUCCGGGCACAUGUCACUGGAUUGCAUCUGGGAAGACGUCCGACAGCGGUAGACCUCGAGUCCGAAGACCUGCUGGCUCGCGCGGGCCCAG